rnacentral:tRNA from 1 species
GCAUAGCUCAGCUAGUUAGAGCAUGGUGCUGAUAACACCAAGGUUGCAGGUUUGAUCCCCGUACCUGCA